GGCCGAGCUCGUCACAAUAUUAUUUCUUGCCCUACGCUAUGAUAAAAUGCACAAGGUUCUAUAUUUAGCAUCAUGGAACUUAAAGUGCUGAAUUUUAGAGCUCCAAAUAAUUAGGUCAGUGGUGAAAUCAACUGGCUCAGCAGAUGACUGGCCAGUUUCCUAGGAAACAGUCAUUGUUUCGUAAACUCGGAGUGGUCACAUCUUAUCACUUGCAACACUUGAACAAAGUAUAUACAUCUGUUUUGAAUCGCAAGAAAGAGAAAAUGGAUUGUUUUAGCCCUUGAAAUCAUCUGGUGGGGAGAAAACCCUUUGUGUUACAAGACCAUUGAUGGACAGUGAGCGAUUUAUCUCAAUUAUCAGUGUGAGAGACAUGGAAUUUACAGACAAAGGAACAAUAACAUGAACAGGAAAAAAGGAGCGAAUGGUUCAGAAGUAAUAUGUGGCAGGAGAACAUUCCAAAGUUUCACAAAUUUGAACAAUGGGACUCUUAUUCUAGAGGAAUAUUAUAUAGUGAUUGAAGUGAUAUGGGAUAGACUUGAGAAAACAUUGAACUACUUUUAUUUCCCUCUGUUGAUUUCAUUCCAUAGGAGUGACAAAAAAUAAAACAUUUGUUUGUGGAACAAGGUAAUUUACCAU